rnacentral:lncRNA from 1 species
CAGUGUACUGCCAAGAUAUGAAAUGCUGUUCAUUUCAUGAAAAAGUAAAUUAUGCUUUUUACCAAGGUGGAUAUUACUAUCCCUUAUUCAUGGAAAAAGUUUUAUUCUAAGUGUUGUGUCUCAUUGAGUAUUAGCAAAAAGGAGAAAUAUUAAUGCUUUUGAGAUAGAUUUGGCUCUAGUAAGUACUGAGAUGUAUUAUUUGCAUAUCUGGGAGAAGAAAU